rnacentral:rRNA from 1 species
UACAGAGGGGGCAAGCGUUAUUCGGAAUUAUUGGGCGUAAAGGGCGCGUAGGCGGCUUUUCAAGUGACGGGUGAAAUCCCUCGGCUUAACCGAGGAACUGCCUGUCAGACUGGAAGGCUUGAGACCGGGAGAGGUGAGUGGAAUUCCCAGUGUAGCGGUGAAAUGCGUAGAUAUUGGGAGGAACACCAGUGGCGAAGGCGGCUCACUGGACCGGAACUGACGCUGAGGCGCGAAGGCCAGGGGAGCAAACGGG